UGGUUCUGGCAUCGAUGAAGAACGCAGCGAAAUGCGAUAAGUAAUGUGAAUUGCAGAAUUUAGUGAAUCAUCGAAUCUUUGAACGCACAUUGCGCCCUUUGGUAUUCCGAAGGGCAUGCCUGUUCGAGCGUCAUUACAUCUCUCAAGCAAUGCUUGGUAUUGGACCUAGCCGUUUAUAUGGCUGGCUUUAAAAUUAAUGGUGGUGCUAUCUAGCUCUACGCGUAGUAAAUUUCCUCGCUACUGAGUUAGAUUUGUACCGGCCGUAAACCUUCUACAUCUUUAGUUGACCUCGGAUCAGGUAGGGAUACCCGCUGA
rnacentral:misc_RNA from 1 species